rnacentral:misc_RNA from 1 species
GAAGUAGUCUCCCUGGCUAAACCUCCAAUGAAAAUUUUUCCAGGACUAGCUCCGUCUCCAGUGUGAGAUUGAGACUUAAUCUCAUACCCGUUGUGGUCGGUUUCUCCACCAGCAAUUGCGUCUUGCUCUUGCGGGUCCAUGGCUUGCAGAUUUAAACGAUGUUUACAGAAAUGGUAAAGAAGAGAGCUUGGAAGAAGAAGAAGAGGAAGAAGAAAAGCAAGCCCUAGAAAAAAGAAUUGGGAAUUGAAAUGAAAUCAGGAGUGUUUGAAACUGGAAAGCCCUAAAAAAGAGUAAAACCCUC